AUCAUGAACAUAAUCAAGCCCUCUUGGAAUGAAAAUCUUCCCGCCCAAAUAGUUCUAUUGCCGACGUAUCGUAGCCAUUUAUAAGUCGAUUUCCUUACCCCAGUAUCCCCCAAUCGCAAACGAAUCAAACCCUAACCCUAGAUUUUUUUGCUAACUAGGAUCAAACGAUGAAAGGAGGCAAAUCAAGCGAUGCUACGAGGAAAGCCGAUACCAAGUUGGCUGUAAAGAAGACUGCAACCAAGGGGAAAGCAGCUAAGGAUCCCAAAAAACCCAAGAGACCCGCUAGCGCCUUCUU